rnacentral:rRNA from 3 species
CUUGUUCUUUAAAUGAGGACUCGUAUCAACGGCACUACGAGGGCUAUACUGUCUCCUUUUUCUAAUCAGUGAAACUGAUCUCCCCGUGAAGAAGCGGGGAUUAUAAUAUAAGACGAGAAGACCCCAUGGAGCUUUAAACUCACCAUGCACCUCUGUGCUCCCAUACCCCUAAACACAACAGACCUGCAUGUUAGUUUUAGGUUGGGGUGACCACGGAGUACAACUUAACCUCCAUAGCAAACGGGCUAAUACCCUUAUCCACGAGACACAACUCUAAGAAUUACUAAACUAAUGCUUACGACCCGAUAUUCGAUCCAUGAACCAAGUUACCCUGGGGAUAACAGCGCAAUCUACUUCAAGAGCCCAUAUCGACAAGUAG